rnacentral:tRNA from 2 species
CGGAGCGUGGCGCAGCUUGGUAGCGCACUUGACUGGGGGUCAAGAGGUCGCCGGUUCAAAUCCGGCCGCUCCGACCA